rnacentral:rRNA from 1 species
UACGAAGGGGGCUAGCGUUGCUCGGAAUCACUGGGCGUAAAGCGCACGUAGGCGGCUUUCUAAGUCAGGGGUGAAAUCCUGGAGCUCAACUCCAGAACUGCCUUUGAUACUGGAGAGACUGAGUCCGGGAGAGGUGAGUGGAACUCCGAGUGUAGAGGUGAAAUUCGUAGAUAUUCGGAAGAACACCAGUGGCGAAGGCGGCUCACUGGCCCGGUACUGACGCUGAUGUGCGAAAGCGUGGGGAGCAAACAGG